AAAAUUUAGUUAGAAUUUUAUUUUUUAGUUAAAAAGCUAAAAUAUAUUCAAAAGACGAGAAGACCCUAUAAAUCUUGAUUAUUUANUAAUUUUUAGUUUAUUUUGAUUUUUUUUAUUAUAAAUUUAUUAAUUAAUUUUAUUGGGGUGAUAUUAAAAUUUAAAUANCUUUUAAUAAUUUUUAUCAUUUAUUUAUGAUUAAGUGAUCCAUUAUUAGUGAUUAGAAAAUUAAGUUACUUUAGGGAUAACAGCGUAAUUUUUUUGGAGAGUUCUUAUCGAUAAAAAAGUUUGCGACCUCGAUGUUGGAUUAAGAUUCAUAUUUAAAUGUAGAAGUUUAAAUAUAAAGUCUGUUCGAC
rnacentral:rRNA from 1 species